rnacentral:snRNA from 1 species
CAGGCAAGUCAUCCUUGGCUA